GUGGGGAAUCUUGCGCAAUGGGCGAAAGCCUGACGCAGCCAUGCCGCGUGAAUGAUGAAGGUCUUAGGAUUGUAAAAUUCUUUCACCGGGGACGAUAAUGACGGUACCCGGAGAAGAAGCUCCGGCUAACUUCGUGCCAGCAGCCGCGGUAAUACGAAGGGGGCUAGCGUUGCUCGGAAUUACUGGGCGUAAAGGGCGCGUAGGCGGACAGCUUAGUCAGGGGUGAAAGCCCAGGGCUCAACCUUGGAAUUGCCUUUGAUACUGGCUGUCUUGAGUUUGGGAGAGGUGAGUGGAACUCCGAGUGUAGAGGUGAAAUUCGUAGAUAUUCGGAAGAACACCAGUGGCGAAGGCGACUCACUGGCCCAAUACUGACGCUGAGGCGCGAAAGCGUGGGGAGCAAACAGGAUUAGAUACCCCUGUAGUCC
rnacentral:rRNA from 1 species